rnacentral:misc_RNA from 1 species
GUCUAGAAAUGCAACUCUUGGUGAGAGCACUGAAACCUCAGCCUUCACAUUGGACCAUAAUGUUAUAUUUAGUAUCAUGGCAUACUUCAGAAGAGGGGGAAAAAUCAGAAGACUAUUUAAUUACUUACUUGCAAUGAGGUCACAUUUCGUUCAAGCUCAGAUAUGUAUUGCAGCUUCCUUACCCGUGACCUCUGUGCAGAUUGCCUGUUUGCCAAGAUUCUU